UACAGAGGUCUCAAGCGUUGUUCGGAUUCAUUGGGCGUAAAGGGUGCGUAGGCGGCGCGGUAAGUCGGGUGUGAAAUCUCGGGGCUUAACUCCGGAACUGCAUUCGAUACUGCCGUGCUUGAGGACUGGAGAGGAGACUGGAAUUUACGGUGUAGCGGUGAAAUGCGUAGAUAUCGUAAGGAAGACCAGUGGCGAAGGCGGGUCUCUGAACAGUUCCUGACGCUGAGGCACGAAGGUCAGGGGAGCAAACGGG
rnacentral:rRNA from 1 species